ACACGUAAAAAAAAUCGGCCGCCAGGUGUGUUCUCCAGCAGGGCAAGUAGCAGUGGCAACAGAAGUAAAGAAUCUGACUAGAAUAAUAGAACCAGAAACGGGAGGAGAUGACUCUCUUCAAGCCGAACACGGGCAGUUCCUAUCUAUGGCGAAACCUCUGCGGAUUUGCACCACUCCCCCGGCCAGGUGGAAAAGUCUCGAGUGAUGGCACGAAGACAUGAAGAACUGUAUGUAAAACUUUUGCCAAAAUGCAGCGCAAGAAUAGACAAACAAACUCAACGCUGAUUCCUCCGUUCAUGUGCAUCAGAUUCAAAGAGGCCACUUCCGUAUGCUAAACUACCCGGCUGACAUUGAACCGCAAGAAGAAUCUUCAGUUUUGGGAAUAGUUCUGGAG